rnacentral:lncRNA from 1 species
AUUUAGAAUGGACCAUUAUCAUGCACCUGUCUCGGAACUGGAACAUGGGAAUAAAAAUACAUGUCAUAUAUGCACUGAUAUAGGGAAUGGAGGAUGCUUUUCCUGUGGUUCACAUUCAUGCCAGCCAGGUCAAGAAGGCUGUCUUGGAGUGACCAUCAUUGGAGAGAUCAUAGUCAAAAAUGCUACGUUUGAUAAAGAAUCGGGAUGCGACCAGGCCGGACUUGACAAGAACUUGAAGGUAUACUACCAUGCAGCUGAAAUAGAUGGGUGACUCGUCUGUGUCUCUCCCUGUGCCUCUGGCCACAACAGGACAAAGCACUGUAACACCAGUACCUGUAGUAUGUCACGGGCCGGACCAGUCUGCGGAUCCACUAUCCACACAGCUGUAACAAGGACUACUGGUACCGAGACUCUGCAUGUUACGGCCCCAUCCUGAAGCGAGACAUCUUUGCUGCGUUACUGACUCUGGCAAGACUGGUGAUAGCAGCCAUGGGGGUCGUGGUGGUCUACAUGCCCUGGCAUAGACGACAAUCCCGCAGAGAAUGACCCUAACCCACAUUAUGGUGGCUGAGUGGGCUUGCAGUACGAGGCAGAGGGAGACUCCUCCAACUUCUCCCUACCAUGGAACACAGGCACAGGUGUCCAGGGAGAGGUUUGAGACCAUCUACCACGACUACAGUUCCUGGGGGCUGAUAGGGACACCAUACAAGACAUAGACACCUGAACCGACCUCCUCUUCAGGGCAACGUUUUGCAUCGAGUGACCCUGGCAGCCAAUCAAAGAAUGUCUAGCUUUCAUUUCAAUGACUGUUAGCAACCUGGACAAAGUGAAGAGACUAUAAAU